UACGUAGGGUGCAAGCGUUGUCCGGAAUUAUUGGGCGUAAAGAGCUCGUAGGCGGCUUGUCGCGUCGGCUGUGAAAACCUGGGGCUCAACCCCGGGCCUGCAGCCGAUACGGGCAAGCUAGAAUUCGGUAGGGGAGACUGGAAUUCCUGGUGUAGCGGUGAAAUGCGCAGAUAUCAGGAGGAACACCGGUGGCGAAGGCGGCAUCCUGGACCGGUAUUGACGCUGAGGCGCGAAAGCUAGGGGAGCAAACGGG
rnacentral:rRNA from 1 species